AUUAGCUAGUUGGUGAGGUAACGGCUCACCAAGGCGACGAUGUCUAGGGGUUCUGAGAGGAAGGUCCCCCACACUGGUACUGAGACACGGACCAGACUCCUACGGGAGGCAGCAGUGAGGAAUAUUGGUCAAUGGGCGAGAGCCUGAACCAGCCAUGUCGCGUGCAGGAAGACGGCCCUAUGGGUUGUAAACUGCUUUUGUACGGGAAGAAAAAAGAUUACGUGUAAUCUAUCGACGGUACCGUACGAAUAAGGAUCGGCUAACUCCGUGCCAGCAGCCGCGGUAAUACGGAGGAUCCGAGCGUUAUCCGGAUUUAUUGGGUUUAAAGGGUGCGCAGGCGGGCUUAUAAGUCAGUGGUGAAAUCUUGCCGCUUAACGGUAAAAUUGCCAUUGAUACUGUAGGUCUUGAGUUCAGUUGAGGUAGGCGGAAUGUGGUGUGUAGCGGUGAAAUGCAUAGAUAUACCACAGAACACCGAUUGCGAAGGCAGCUUACUAAACUGAAACUGACGCUGAGGCACGAAAGCGUGGGGAUCAAACAGGAUUAGAUACCCUGGUAGUCCACGCUGUAAAC
rnacentral:rRNA from 1 species